AGAGUUUGAUCCUGGCUCAGGACGAACGCUGGCGGCGUGCCUAAUACAUGCAAGUCGAACGAGAGCGACCGGUGCUUGCACUGGUCAAUCUAGUGGCGAACGGGUGAGUAACACGUGGGUAACCUGCCCAUCAGAGGGGGAUAACAUUCGGAAACGGAUGCUAAAACCGCAUAGGUCUUCGAACCGCAUGGUUUGAAGAGGAAAAGAGGCGCAAGCUUCUGCUGAUGGAUGGACCCGCGGUGCAUUAGCUAGUUGGUGAGGUAACGGCUCACCAAGGCCGUGAUGCAUAGCCGACCUGAGAGGGUGAUCGGCCACAUUGGGACUGAGACACGGCCCAAACUCCUACGGGAGGCAGCAGUAGGGAAUCUUCCGCAAUGGACGCAAGUCUGACGGAGCAACGCCGCGUGAGUGAAGAAGGUUUUCGGAUCGUAAAACUCUGUUGUUAGAGAAGAACAAGUGCUAGAGUAACUGUUAGCGCCUUGACGGUAUCUAACCAGAAAGCCACGGCUAACUACGUGCCAGCAGCCGCGGUAAUACGUAGGUGGCAAGCGUUGUCCGGAUUUAUUGGGCGUAAAGCGAGCGCAGGCGGUUCCUUAAGUCUGAUGUGAAAGCCCCCGGCUCAACCGGGGAGGGUCAUUGGAAACUGGGGAACUUGAGUGCAGAAGAGGAGAGUGGAAUUCCAUGUGUAGCGGUGAAAUGCGUAGAUAUAUGGAGGAACACCAGUGGCGAAGGCGACUCUCUGGUCUGUAACUGACGCUGAGGCUCGAAAGCGUGGGUAGCAAACAGGAUUAGAUACCCUGGUAGUCCACGCCGUAAACGAUGA
rnacentral:rRNA from 1 species